rnacentral:rRNA from 1 species
UUUCGGGCGACCGCUGGCGGCGUUGCCUAACACAUGCAAGUCGAGCGAGAUUUUAAGAACUAGCUUGCUAGUUCUUAAAUGAAAGCGGCGGACGGGUGAGUAACGCGUGGGCAACCUGCCCUAUGGAAAGGGAUAGCCUCGGGAAACCGGGAUUAAUACCUUAUAAAGUGAACACUUCGCAUGGAGAGUUCAUCAAAGAUUUAUCGCCAUAGGAUGGGCCCGCGUCCCAUUAGCUAGUUGGUGAGAUAACAGCUCACCAAGGCGACGAUGGGUAGCCGACCUGAGAGGGUGAUCGGCCACAUUGGGACUGAGACACGGCCCAGACUCCUACGGGAGGCAGCAGUGGGGAAUAUUGCACAAUGGGGGAAACCCUGAUGCAGCGACGCCGCGUGAGUGAAGAAGGUUUUCGGAUCGUAAAACUCUGUCCUUGGUGAAGAAAAAAAUGACAGUAGCCAAGGAGGAAGCCCCGGCUAACUACGUGCCAGCAGCCGCGGUAAUACGUAGGGGGCGAGCGUUGUCCGGAUUUACUGGGCGUAAAGGGUGAGUAGGCGGUAGUAUGUGUCAGAUGUAAAAGGCUAAGGCUUAACCAUAGUUAGCAUUUGAAACUGUAUUACUUGAGUGCAGGAGAGGUAAGCCGGAAUUCCUAGUUGUACCGGUGAAAUGCGUACAUAAUUA